AGCCAGGAAGGAGGCAGGAUGGAAGAGUUCUCUGCAGCAGACUCUCUGCCCAGACCAUCCAGCACAGCUUUUGCAAGGAUGGUUUGUGCAAGCUAGAAAAGACUGCUCCCCCCUACUGGUGGCUUUGCGCAACAACAUUUAUUUACAGUUUCAUGCUGAUACUGCCUGCCAAACCGAAGUAAACUACCACUGAAGAGUGGGCAAUCUGGAAAAUGCCCUGGUCUCAGCACAGGUCUGGGGCUCAAUGCAACCUGGCUCUUCUGUUAUUUCAGCUCUUGUCUUCAGAGGGGUUUUCCUGCCAACUUCACUGAAUAUGGACCAACUCCACUGCAGACAGAUCCUCCUCCAGACUUCUCGCUGACGGCUUACUCUUGAUUGCUGACUUCUGACUCUUGACUGCCCAGUGCUCACUGUUGACUCCUCCAUCUGGACCUUUUCUCUCAAAGCUUCCAAGCUCAACUGUGACUGUCUUCCAGGACUCUUCCUCUGACUUGACUUCACUCAACUGUGUCUGUAACUCUCUGAAACUCUCUCUAUAUAUACUUUCCUGGCCCAA